ACUCAAAUGAAUAGACGGGGGCCCGCACAAGCGGCGGAGCAUGUUGCUUAAUUCGACGCAACGCGAAGAACCUUACCAAGGUUUGACAUGGCCGGAAAAGCAUCAGAGAUGGUGUGUCCUUCGGGGCCGGUCACAGGUGGUGCAUGGCUGUCGUCAGCUCGUGUCGUGAGAUGUUGGGUUAAGUCCCGCAACGAGCGCAACCCUCGUCCCAUGUUGCCAGCGGGUUAUGCCGGGGACUCAUGGGAGACUGCCGGGGUCAACUCGGAGGAAGGUGGGGAUGACGUCAAGUCAUCAUGCCCCUUAUGUCUUGGGCUGCAAACAUGCUACAAUGGCCGGUACAGAGGGCUGCGAGCCUGUGAGGGUGAGCGAAUCCCGGAAAGCCGGUCUCAGUUCGGAUCGGGGUCUGCAACCCGACCCCGUGAAGUCGGAGUCGCUAGUAAUCGCGAAUCAGCAACGUCGCGGUGAAUACGUUCCCGGGCCUUGUACACACCGCCCGU
rnacentral:rRNA from 1 species